UACGUAGGCAGCAAGCGUUGUUCGGAGUUACUGGGCGUAAAGGGUGCGUAGGCGGCCUUAUAAGUAUGGUGUGAAAUCUCCCGGCUUAACUGGGAGGGUGCGCUAUAGACUGUGGGGCUAGAGUGUGGGAGAGGAAAGUGGAAUUCCUGGUGUAGCGGUGAAAUGCGUAGAUAUCGGGAGGAACACCCGUGGCGAAAGCGGCUCACUGGACCGCAACUGACGCUGAGGCGCGAAAGCUAGGGGAGCAAACAGG
rnacentral:rRNA from 1 species